rnacentral:rRNA from 1 species
GGUUAAGCGACUAAGCGUACACGGUGGAUGCCCUGGCAGUCAGAGGCGAUGAAGGGCGUGCUAAUCUGCGAUAAGCGCCGGUAAGGUGAUAUGAACCGUUAUAACCGGCGAUACCCGAAUGGGGAAACCCAGUGUGACUCGUCACACUAUCAUUAACUGAAUCCAUAGGUUAAUGAGGCGAACCGGGGGAACUGAAACAUCUAAGUACCCCGAGGAAAAGAAAUCAACCGAGAUUCCCCCAGUAGCGGCGAGCGAACGGGGAGGAGCCCAGAGCCUGAAUCAGCAUGUGUGUUAGUGGAAGCGUCUGGAAAGGCGCGCGAUACAGGGUGACAGCCCCGUACACAAAAGCGCAUGUGCUGUGAGCUCGAUGAGUAGGGCGGGACACGUGGUAUCCUGUCUGAAUAUGGGGGGACCAUCCUCCAAGGCUAAAUACUCCUGACUGACCGAUAGUGAACCAGUACCGUGAGGGAAAGGCGAAAAGAACCCCGGCGAGGGGAGUGAAAAAGAACCUGAAACCGUGUACGUACAAGCAGUGGGAGCCCCACCACCAAAGCAUUUGCUGUACCGCGUUGACGGAGCGAAGCGACGUCAAACCGAUAAAACAGCAGUGUAAAGUGAGCCGCAGGGCGCUUUGCGCGACAGC